UACGUAGGGGGCUAGCGUUGUCCGGAAUCAUUGGGCGUAAAGCGCGUGUAGGCGGUCCGGUAAGUCCGCUGUGAAAGUCGGGGGCUCAACCCUCGAAUGCCGGUGGAUACUGUCGGGCUAGAGUCCGGAAGAGGAGAGUGGAAUUCCCGGUGUAGCGGUGAAAUGCGCAGAUAUCGGGAAGAACACCCGUGGCGAAGGCGGCUCUCUGGGACGGUACUGACGCUGAGACGCGAAAGCGUGGGGAGCGAACAGG
rnacentral:rRNA from 1 species